rnacentral:rRNA from 1 species
CGUCAGCUCGUGUUGUGAAAUGUUGGGUUAAGUCCCGCAACGAGCGCAACCCUUAUCCUUUGUUGCCAGCGGUCCGGCCGGGAACUCAAAGGAGACUGCCAGUGAUAAACUGGAGGAAGGUGGGGAUGACGUCAAGUCAUCAUGGCCCUUACGACCAGGGCUACACACGUGCUACAAUGGCGCAUACAAAGAGAAGCGACCUCGCGAGAGCAAGCGGACCUCAUAAAGUGCGUCGUAGUCCGGAUUGGAGUCUGCAACUCGACUCCAUGAAGUCGGAAUCGCUAGUAAUCGUGGAUCAGAAUGCCACGGUGAAUACGUUCCCGGGCCUUGUACACACCGCCCGUCACACCAUGGGAGUGGGUUGCAAAAGAAGUAGGUAGCUUAACCUUCGGGAGGGCGCUUACCACUUUGUGAUUCAUGACUGGGGUGAAGUCGUAACAAGGUAACCGUAGGGGAACCUGCGGUUGGAUCACCUCCUU